rnacentral:sRNA from 1 species
CCAAGCUGUUUAAAGAAAAGAAAUAAACAAAAAUAAUAUCUGCAAAGAGAAAACUGUCAGCUCUCAAAAUUCGGACCGCUUCCAUUCCAUGUCUCGCUGCGACUUAAUCUCAAACGAGACUCGAAUUGUUUUAUCUGAGCUGCCAGAGAACAUGUCCAAAAACCAUCUUGUCCUGCAGUUCUGGCCAGUUUGAUACACGUUCAUCUGGCCCAUCCUGAUUUUGUUUCGAGCCAAAAGUCCAAAUACGCCGGCUUGAAAGGUUUGAUCGGCUUGAAAGGAAUGUCCCAGGGUCAUUCCCCACUCAGAAAUCACACCGAAACCUGGCCGCCUGCUUCAGGGCGAGAUCACAUACUCUUGCCCGCAAAAACUAAGAUGCCAAUACCCUUCAUGAGCUGGGCUACUGGGAUCAGAGAACUCGAUAUUUUAAUCAUCUGCACCG